CAUCCCUGUUGUCCAUGAGCCCUUCUGGCUUAGAGUGCUCGCGUUAGUGUAACCCGAGUCAUAACAACUUUGCAUAAUUGAAUUUUGUUUUAAAUAAUUACAGUAAGAUAAAGUAUUAGAUACAUAUAGUUUGUAUGUGGGUAGGGUACAGAUAAUUUAAAUGUGAAAUCAUUUCAUAGAUACCACAGUGGUGUGUGGAGUAUAUGCGAUCCUUGCCAGGACCCAAAAGGGGAGUUGCCUGUACACAGCCCAGGAGAGUGGCUGCAAUGAGUGUGGCUCAGAGAGUUGCUGAUGAGAUGGACGUGAUGUUAGGCCAGGAAGUUGGAUACUCCAUUCGAUUUGAAGACUGCAGUAGUGCAAAAACCAUUCUUAAGUAUAUGACUGACGGGAUGCUCCUUCGUGAAGCUAUGAAUGAUCCCCUCCUGGAGCGUUAUGGUGUGAUAAUUCUUGAUGAGGCCCAUGAAAGAACAUUAGCUACGGAUAUUCUUAUGGGUGUUCUAAAGGAAGUUGUGAGACAGAGAUCAGAUUUAAAGGUUAUAGUUAUGAGUGCUACCCUAGAUGCUGGAAAAUUCCAGAUUUACUUUGAUAACUGUCCUCUCUUAACUAUACCUGGCCGAACACAUCCUGUUGAGAUUUUUUAUACUCCCGAACCAGAGAGAGAUUAUCUUGAAGCAGCAAUUCGAACGGUGAUCCAAAUACAUAUGUGUGAAGAGGAGGAAGGAGACCUUCUUCUUUUCUUGACUGGUCAAGAGGAAAUUGAUGAGGCCUGUAAGAGAAUAAAGCGUGAAGUUGAUGAUUUGGGUCCUGAAGUUGGUGAUAUUAAAAUCAUUCCAUUAUAUUCUACACUUCCACCCCAGCAGCAACAGCGCAUUUUUGAGCCACCACCUCCAAAAAAACAGAAUGGAGCAAUUGGAAGAAAGGUAACAUUAAAUAUUCACUAUAGUCAUUGUUGAUAGUAGGAAACCUGCAUGGUACUGUCACUCAAACUAGAAGCUAGAUGUCAUGGUACAUGCCUAUGAUUAGCACUCUGGCAGAAGAGGCAGGAGGAUAAAGAAUUUAAGAAUAGUUGGAGUCUCUUCUGUUUAUGCUAUGGCUAAUUAGUCACUAUUAAGCCUCAAAAUAGGAAUUGCUUAGUAAAAUGGGGCAUGGUCCUUACAGAGAUGGUUCCAUGGUUUUGAAGGGAGGGUUAUUGAUCCUGUUAUUUAAAGUAGUUAACCACACAAGCUAAUAAAAUAAAUGUCUUUGAAUUGGAGGAGAACACUCAUGUUCUGGUGGCUAAAAGAAUGAAAAUUAGCUUAAUUUAGAUAAUUAUUGUGUCCAAGCAGGACAAUUUCUACUUUAAUAGCAGUUAGUGAACUAAAUAUUGGUUUUAUUUAGAUACAGGUUUUUGAGGGUAACCUCAAAUUUUUAGCUCUAACGCCAGCUGAGGACUUACUUCAUACUACAGCAGUGUGCCUUGAGGUAGUUUCCUCGGCCUGAGAUUCUAACACUUUGCUGGUUUUGAACAUUUAUUACAAAGUUACAGUCUAGAACAGGCGUGUAACAUUCCUACUUUUCCCAAGCAAAUCCCUUGACUACCUCAGGAUCGCUUUGCUGACUAGUUCCUAAUUGAAUAGGGAACUGUUAUGUCUAGGUCAUAUUUACUACUUGCUUUACCUGAUUGAUGAGGCUGCAGUGCAGCUCUAUAAACCAUCUCUUGCAUUCGUUCGUUCGUUCAUUUUUCUGUAUGUAUUUUGUAUGUUAUCUAGCUAUUUUCAGAUCUAGAGGUCUAGUCUGUAGAAAUAAUCUUAAUUCUAACAACAUUUAUGAAAAUUAGCCCUUUUUGUUCUUAACUACCUUUUAUGAUUUUUAAAUCCUGUCAUUUCAGCAGUAGAGACUUCAGUAACUAUUGAACAAAGGCCCCAGGCUGACAUUGUGGGAUUUGACAUAUGCCUAGCAACGGAUAGUUAAAAGUAAUGACGUGAAGCUUGCUGAGUCAGCACUAUCCUCUACUUGUUAAACAUGUGGAGGCCACAUGUCUACAUGCAUAGGUGGUUUUUUGUUUGUUUUUUUCCCAGAAAAAAAAUUUUUUUAAUUGAAGCAAGAAACCAUGCUUCAUAGUCUUACUUUCUUCUUGGUGUUACAUGUGGGCAUCAUAAUCUUUAAAUACUUAAUUUUAGGAAAAAAUAUAAUUCUCAAGUUUUAAGUUAACGCACUGUUCUAGAAGCAUGAUGACAUUUUCACUACGCAGUUCCCUUUUUGCACACAAUGUGAAUCUUCAUCAGUUCAUCAUAUCCAGAGGGUGUAUGCUACUUGCUUAUGUUCUAACAAAGAUGCUUAUUUGUAAUUCCUUAAAGUUGGCAGCAUCACGAAAUUUUAUCACAUUGUAUAUUGAAAGAACCCUGUGAAGUACACUUUUAAUAUAACAAAAUAAUUGUCUAGCUUCGCUGUCUUAAAUCUUCCUGAAGAAUUCAAAAAUACACAUGUUUCUAAGUAUUUAAAUGGCAUUUUAAAAAUGAGAUCUGUAAUCGUGUACCCCACAACCCUGUGUUAACUAACUAGUCUAAUGGUCUAAUAGGGAGUUUUAAAUACAGAUUGACACUGAAGAGUAUUAAUACCUUCAUAGUAUUCUGGUUUGUUUUCCAGCUUUGAUACUUGCUUAACUUUGUAUGAGCUACAACAAAAAUCUGACUUUAAAAGAAUAGUGCACGUGGGUUGGGACUCUUAUCAUUAAUGUUAGGCAUUAUAUGUUUGUUUCCCUUCUAAUUAUUGAUUGUAUAAAUAUGUGAUCUAUGGAAAGUAAAACUAACUUCUGCUAUUUGUCAUUGUUUUUCAUAAGUUGACCAGUGUAAAAGACAUUUAUUGACAUUAAAUGAUUCUGAAAUAUUUGUUGUUAGAUGCCAAGGUUUUCUGCUAGUAUUUACUGUAAUCUUCCAGUUAAAUAUGAAAUCUAUAUUAUUUAGAGUAGUGAACGUUAGUCACUGAAUUUAAGGUUUUUUUUUUUUUUUUUUGUUCUUUUUUUCGGAGCUGGGGACCGAACCCAGGGCCUUGCGCUUCCUAGGUAAGCGCUCUACCACUGAGCUAAAUCCCCAGCCCGAAUUUAAGGUUUUUAACUUAAAAGAUUGCUUUUUUUUUCCCCCCUGAAGUAAAAGAAUAGGGAGAAUACAAGUUCUUUCUGUUCUUGUGUGUCUCUAUAGUCACGUAUAAACCCUUGGCUAAGCUGACCAAUUUCUCAGAAAUUUUGUCUUAACAUUCAGGUCCUAUGCUAAAAGCUAUUUUUAUCUUGAAUUAAAAAAUAACCACAUUUUAAAACUCAAAGCAUUUAUUUGUCAUUUAUACUUUCUAUGUCUAACCUCACCGUCCAAAUUAUACAGGCUGUGUAGGAGCAGACUUUGAUACAUCUUUGAUACAUCUAUGUGAACAUGGUGCAUACAUGUCUCUAAAUGUCAACAUUACCAUCAUUUCCUUUUGUUUUAAUAGAAAAAGUAUUUAAUACCAUUUCCCAAGUAAAACCAAUUUUGUGUCGUCCCCGCCAGUAUCCUAUCCCCCCCCCACCCUCCUUGACCAAGCCUUAUUUUUUUGGACUUGCUAGUCAAGCACUCUCUAAGCUGAGUGAGCCCUCUCAAACUUAAUUUCUGAAGACAUUCUAAAAUCUAGGAAAAUGGUGCAAAUUUGUGAAUAGACUAUCAUAAUAGUAUGUGAAUGCAUCAAGUAUCAUUCCCUGUUAGUACAUUUAUUUUUUCUUUGCUAAUCUGUGCAUUCUCCUUCCUGUUUACAUUUCAUUGUGAGGAUCUGCCAAUUUUUACUGAAUUGUACCUUGGUUUUGCUUUUCUGUUUUUUAUUAAUUUACUUCUGUUCACUCUGCCAUUUUUAUUUAAAUUAUUGCUGUGUGUUUGUGUGUGUAAGACUUGUAAAUAUUGCCUGAAAAUACUGGAAUACAUGCUUAUGUGAACUUUGAAGGGAAUAUUCAAUCUGAGAUUUUAUAAACUGUGCUUAAUAGUGUAUUUUAUUACUUGCCUUUUGAUGCUACAUUUCUGUUUGUAUAAUCACUGUGCUUGAUAAUCGCGUGUUGAUAAAGAAUUGCUAGUUUAAAAGUUCUUUUGUUAGUGACAGUAGGUUAAGUCAUGGUCAUUUUGCUUGAUUUCUGAACAGGUGGUUGUGUCAACUAAUAUUGCAGAGACCUCUUUGACAAUAGAUGGUGUGGUGUUUGUUAUUGACCCUGGAUUUGCAAAGCAAAAGGUAGCUAUGGCUGGAGCUUACUUUAUAUAAUGUGAACUGAGGAUGCUAAAUGCUUGCUUAUCUUGUGACUAACACAGUUUUUCAGGGUUACUUCUCUAAUUUUGGAUUUCCUUUUGAAAUUUGUAACAUCCCUGUAUUCUUUCUUGCUCUUAGAAAUUAAAGCUGUGUUCAGUAAUCUAGGCCACAUUUUCCACAUGCUUUGGUAUAAAAGUUUUGUGUUCCUUUUGUGUAUGAUGGUGGCUUAGGCAUGUGGUCUCAUGUAUGGAGAAAAAUGGUAGUAAUAGAAAAUCCCGGAUCAUACUUAAUGUUGG
rnacentral:lncRNA from 14 species